GGUCCUGUAGUGUAGUGGUUAUCACAGCGGAUUCUGAUCCUCGCGAACCUUCCGCUAACCCAGGUUCGAGUCCUGGCAGGACCU
rnacentral:tRNA from 1 species